rnacentral:rRNA from 1 species
AUGAAGGGUGCAGUUAGCCACGCAGAUCAGAUCUUGUGUUCCAAACUUCCAAUGCUGGCAUCCAGUGAGGUCGUCAUCGAGGGCGUGACUCCGGUGCUACAAUGUAUGCCUGAGUUGCAGGUGUUAAGUGUGGAACCAUCUUCGCCUAUAUCGAUGGUGCUCUCGAAGGUGGGCUCGCUUGGGGCGGUGACGGUUGCCUCGACGCCCUCUCCACCUCCGUUGAAGCCUAGUCAGUCGGAGUAUGCAUGUGUGGAGGGUGAUGGUCCAGACAUGGUUAACACGCGAUCGCUUGAACCCUUUGGAGGUGUGGUUCCUAUGGCUGAUAAAAUUGUUGUGGCCGGAGUGUUGGUGCCUAAUCCUGGUGUCCUUUUAGCCACCAAGAUUUGUGAAUUCGUAGCCAACCUGGACUCUAAAAAUUCUGGAAAGACGAUUGGAUGCCUCUUGGAGGAAAAAGCUUUGAGGGAGAAGCACAAGAAGGGUGGCGCUAACUCUAGAUCUGGCAUCCUCAAAGAGAAAUCUUGCAGGAGCAAAAGCAAGAAGGAUAGCGCUAGAGGGGAGGCGUAA